rnacentral:lncRNA from 1 species
GGUGAAGUUGAUUAAUAAUGUAUCCAUAGGUACCUUGCUGGAAUUGCUUUGUGAAACAAAAUCUUACCUCCUCUGUUCCUUCUGUUUCUUCUCCCACUUUAAAAGCUUCAGCUUUUUGCAUAUUGCUGAGUGGAGGCCAAGAAAAAACCUUUGCCUUAGCUACGCAGAAACCAACAAGAAAAAUAACAAGUCCUGGGUCAUUUGCUUGAUGUCUCAGAGCUGCAUCUAGCUGCCUUUUAGAGACUGUUUAUAAAAAAUUCUGAGGCUUUGCCAAGCUAUGAAACUACUUCACUACAGGAAAAGUACAGACAAUAAAAAUUCAGGCAAUGAAAGCAAGAAGGAGAGUGUACAGUGUGUCAGACAUGAAGCCAAGGGUUAACUCAAGUUUGAGUCUGCUACGAGCCCACUGCAUAAUACUGAAAACUCAAAGCAGUACACAUUGAAUGUAAGGGUGCACUUGAAUACAUCUACCACACAGGAGCGAAGGGCAGCAAGGGAAGUGAUUUUUCCUUUUGUUUUCUACCUCAUUACUGGGUAAGGAAGAAAAAAUAUUAUCUCCCCACAUUUCUAACCAUAUUUUAGCCUUCAUUCAAAUUUGUGCCUCCAAAUCACACCAUUUGCAUGGUUCAAAAAUCCUCAAAGAAAAUCCUUAAUACAGAAUGACUAUUGAUUAGUGGCACUUCAAGGUACCUGGCAGAAGAAAACACAAAUCCUUUUUGGUUUAACUUAAGAAUCAUCACUAAAAAUAAUUUCUAUGAACAUAUAAAUUAUAGUACAAAAUUAUAAGCUAUACAAAUAAUGCACUGUAAAAUUUAAAGAAACGACAAAAAAUUGGACAUAUAAGGCUUUUAGAUAUUAAAUUGAUCUGAAAUUGAAUAUAUAAUAAAUACAUUAACAGGCCAGGUGUGGUGGUUCAUACCUGUAAUCCCAGCACUUUGGGAAACUGAGUCAGGUGGAUCACUGGAGGUCAGGAAUUCGAGACCAGCCUGGCCAACAUAGUGAAACCCCAUCUCUACUAAAAAUACAAAAAAUCAGCUGAGCAUGGUGCUGCGUGCCUGUAAUUCCAGGCUUAGGCAUGAGAAUCACUUGAACCCAGGAGGCAGAGGUUGCAGUGAGCCCAUGCCACUGCAUUCCAGCCUGGGUGAAAAUAAAUAAAGAAGUAAAUAAAAAUAAACAUAAUUAUUGUAUACAUAUUAAUUAACAUGUUUAAAUAAAUGAGCAGACUUGAAAAUAUAAUCAAGGAAUGAAAUAUUUUUAAAUAGCC